UUUUUUUUUUGAAACUGGAUCAUACACAGAAAAUUUGAACUUGCAGUUGCUGCUAUGUGUACGGAUUCCAUGUUUUGUUCGUCCUCAUUGCCUGCGUUGUGUACUUCAUCCUCAACCUGCAGGUGUCCUUCCUGCUAGUGAUCAGCAUCGUCAUCCUGGGCUUGCGCAUUGGAGGCAUUAUUCCUGGCCGCUGCUGGCAUCAUUGCUGAUGCUUACCUUCCUGUGAUUAACUUUCAAUUCUGUCAAACAAGGAUGAAAAGACAAGACAAAAUCAAGGACACUACAUCAACACAAAUGAAAGAACAUUGUUCUUGCACUUUGUCAAACAAGGCUGAAUACUUAUUUAUUUUCUCCCAACACUCACUCUAGCUAAUGUACGUUUGGGAGAUACGUACAGGAAAGAAAACAUGUACCUCCCUCUUGGACACAUGAAUGAUUCAUCAACAUCUUCUUUGUUUCUCCAUGAAAGCUCUCUCUUUUUCUCACAUAUCUGUACCAUUUUCCUCAAAUGGUUGAUCAUCCAUGGCCUGCCUUUUGCAUAAGAUAAUCAAUUCGUCACUGAAAUAUCUAUCAGUUUUGUUGUAGGCAAACCAAAAAUAAGAACUUAACUUAACUAAACUAAAAAUAAAUAUUGAACGAAAAUUGGAAAUCGAGCUGAACUAAAACUAGGAACUGGACUGAACUUUUCUAAUAUUAGUACAUGUAGCUCUCGAUAUAAGUAGUGUACUGCCAAGCAAUACAAAUGAGAAAAAGAAAUAAACCCUGGCAUUCAUUACAUUGACAUUUAAUACAUCGCGCAUACAUGUUAAAUAAUGGAAACAUUUCAUUUUUUUACAGCAAGCAGACACCUUUUGGCAUUUUCAACUACAGUUAUAAAAUAUACCAAACCCAUUUUCCAAGCAUAGAACUGCAGAAAUAUAGCAAAGUUGAACUAUUGUAUUCUACAGAGAACUGCACAGAAUUAAUAAUCUGAAAUGCUUUUUUUCUCACCAAACUGGUCACACCUUCACUGGAGUUUGCCUGGAGGUGCAGGAGCAUGGACAUGCACGGUUUCGCAUGUUGAACUUCUAGCAAUCUCACGCCUCUGCAAGCCAUAGAGCAGCUGAGAGGAGGGACCACCGGCCACUAUGUGUUGUGACGUUGGGCUGCCAGAGCUGUGCAUGGAGAGGCUCAACGGUGAGUGCACAGGAGCGGUGGAAGAACAGUUACGGCCUCUGGCGGUGCCUAGAGCUAGCACGAGGUGCCUUGGCUUCUUCGACCGAUGCUCAGUUGGCGUAUGCCAACAGUAGAACUUCCUGGCCUUUGAAACUCGUA
rnacentral:lncRNA from 1 species